GGGAUUAAUCCAUGAUAGAUCAAGGCUCCUGGAAUGGGCUUUGGUCCAAAGGGAUGGACAAGCAUGUUUUGCCCAUCUGCUCUAGGAUGGGGCUGCGGCCGAUCAGGUUGUUGGUGGGGUAAUGGCCCACCAAGCCUAUAACCGGUACGGGCUUUGAGAGAAGGAGCCCGGAGAUGGACACUGAGAUAAGGGUCCAGGCCCUACGGGGCGCAGCAGGCGCGAAAACUUCGCAAUGUGCGAAAGCAUGACGAGGUUACUCCGAGUGCUACUCGCUGAGGGUGGCUUUUCCUGAGUCUAAAAAGCUUGGGGAAUAAGGGGAGGGUAAGUCUGGUGUCAGCCGCCGCGGUAAUACCAGCUCCUCGAGUGGUCGGGACGUUUAUUGGGCCUAAAGCAUCCGUAGCCGGUCUUGUAGGUCCCCUGUUAAACCCAACGGCCCAACCGUUGGACUGCAGAGGAUACCACAUGACUAGGAGGCGGGAGAGGUGGAUGGUACUCCAUGGGUAGGGGUAAAAUCCUUUGAUCCAUGGAAGACCACCAGUGGCGAAGGCGGUCCGCCAGAACGCGCUCGACGGUGAGGGAUGAAAGCUGGGGGAGCGAACCGGAUUAGAUACCCGGGUAGUCCCAGCUGUAAACGAUGCGAGCUAGGUGGUGGAGUGGCCGCGUGCCAUUCCAAUGCCGCAGGGAAGCCGUUAAGCUCGCCGCCUGGGGGAGUACGGGCCGCAAGGCUGAAACUUAAAAGGAAUUGGGCGGGGGGGGCACCACAAAGGGGUGAAGCCUGCGGUUUAAUU
rnacentral:rRNA from 1 species